rnacentral:lncRNA from 1 species
GAAUAGCUGAGAGGCGCACCCGGGCGGCCAGCUGGGCUCGGAGUGCAGCGGGGUUAGGAUGGACGAGGACGUGUUGCACCCUGAAGAGCCUCAUCAUCGGUGAGAGUGGGGUGGGCAAGUCCAGCCUGCUCUUGAGGUUCACAGAUGAUACCUUUGAUCCAGAACUUGCAGCAACAAUAGACAAUGCAGGAAUCACAUGAACCUGUCCAUCCACAGAUAAAGUGGUAAAGAAACUGCCGUAUUAGAUACAUGAUGGUAUACUCUUCAGCCAUAAAGCUUCGGGAAACCCUGUCAUCCGCAACCACGUGGAGAAACCUGUCCAUCCACAGAUGAAGGGAUCAGGAAGCUCUGAACAUGAACUUCAUGAGGACAGAGACUUGGGCUUAUUCACCACCAAGUCCCCAGUUCCUAACUCCAGUCCUUUGGAGUUAGAAGCAGGUUGCCCAAAGUUCAUGAUGCAGAAAAACCAUUUUUUCCGAGAUUUAUAGGAUAAGUCCUGUAAUUCCAGAUUGCUUGGCGCCAAUCAGGUACUCAAUAAAUGUUUGUUGAGUGAAUAUGUGAA